rnacentral:rRNA from 1 species
AUUGAACGCUGGCGGCAGGCUUAACACAUGCAAGUCGAACGAGCGGCGGACGGGUGAGUAAUGUCUGGGAAACUGCCUGAUGGAGGGGGAUAACUACUGGAAACGGUAGCUAAUACCGCAUACCCUCAGAUGUGCCCAGAUGGGAUUAGCUAGUUGGUGGGGUAAUGGCUCACCAAGGCGACGAUCCCUAGCUGGUCUGCGAGGAUGACCAGCCACACGGUAACUGAGACACGGUCCAGACUCCUACGGGAGUAAGCAGUGGGGAAUAUUGCACAAUGGGCGCAAGCCUGAUGCAGCCAUGCCGCGUGUGUGAAGAAGGCCUUCGGGUUGUAAAGUACUUUCAGCGGGGAGGCGUUACUCGCAGAAGAAGCACCGGCUAACUCCGUGCCAGCAGCCGCGGUAAUUC